UCCCUGAUGGCUCAGAUGGUAGAGAAUCUGCCUGCAAUGCUGGAGACCCAGGUUCCAUCCCUGGGUUGGGAA
rnacentral:tRNA from 1 species